GCGACCGGCGACGGAGAUUCCAUUAUUUCAUUAUUAAAGAGUUGCAUCAAGUUUGCUGGUGUUUAUGGGCAUAAGAUGGCCAAGGAUUCUAACACCGAAGCAGCUCUCGCAAAUAAUACUGAGCCAGAAGAACCCACUAAAAGCGCUUCAAUGUUUUGACGAAGCAAAAUGCAAGUAUCCAACUUACCGUCAUAAUGGUCCUGUUU
rnacentral:misc_RNA from 1 species